CAUCUGGCGUGCUCUAAAACCAUUACCGAACCGUUGUAAAACUUCAUGUUUGACAUUUCUAAAGAUGGGAAACACCAGCCUUUGAGAUAUGUGUUUACAUUUAUUUUCAUUAUACACGUAAGUAUCAUUUGGUUUUCAUUCAAAAACUUAACGUAUUACAAAACAGGGUAAACUUAUUUAUUUUCCUUGUCUUUUGUUUUCUUUUAUUACUAUUUUCACGUACAUUUACGUAUAUAAAUAUAUUUACCUGUCAGAAUGGAAAUUUUAGAAAUCCUUGUUUCUUUUUGGAUAUGCGGUGCUUGUAAGUCUAAAUGAAAUUAAACAUAACCAAAUUGACAAUUAUAAUUAUAUUAGGGCAUUUAAAUACUUGUGUUCUAUUUUUCUUUGUUGAUGAACUUAAAAAAUCUAUCAAAUUAUUUUUAAUAGUUUCAGAUGUAAUAUUUCAAUUCUGUCAUAUAUUGUAACAAUUAAAUAUAGGUACGUAAUGAUCGAAUAAAUGUUUAAGUUCUUACAGUCUGCAAAAAAAGAUAAAAUCAUUAAAAAACAAACAAACAAUGAUCGAAGCAAUUUCAGUUUUUAUUUAAAUUACCUGGAACUAUUUCUGCUUCUUUUGCUCUUCAACAAUAGUAUCUAAUGUGAAAGUUAAAAUUAUACUAAUUUGUUUACAUUUUGCUACGUUUAAGUCAAACAAUUUUACAUUCACAUGAAUACUUUCUGCAGGUGAUAAGCAUAUAUUAUAUAUGCUUUAAUACCAAAAGACAAUCAUUUAAUAACUCAUGUUUGCUCAUUAUAAAGAAAUAAAAGAAUAUCGUAUCUAAGGUAUAAUGUGCCUCUAUCUAUAAUAACCUUUACUCCAUACUUAUCACGUCAGAUUUAAAACAAUGGUAUAUAAGAGUCGUUGAAAUGGUGUAACCAGCUACGAAAAAAAUGAACUAAAAUUAAAUCUUUGCCUAUGGCCUUACACGAUGUAGGAGCAUCAAAUUUGAGGGACUUAGCAGACUACAAGAAAUGUGGAAACCUACACGAGAAAAGACAUGGGAAGUUUAACAAAUUAGUUCGUGGUAAAUGGUGUCCGUGUUUUUUAAUCGUAUCUAGAAUAAGUAAGACAUCUCCUUCUUGGGCAUUGUUCUGUUAC